rnacentral:rRNA from 1 species
CUUGGCGGCCAUAGCUCUUCGGACCCACCCCUUCCCAUCCCGAACAGGACCGUGAAACGAAGAUACGCCGAUGAUAGUGCACUUAAACGUGUGCGAAAGUAGGUCACCGCCAGGC